rnacentral:tRNA from 9 species
AGUGGAUCAAGGCAGUGGAUUGUGAAUCCACCAUGCGCG